rnacentral:rRNA from 1 species
UACGGAGGGGGCUAGCGUUCGUUCGGAAUUACUGGGCGUAAAGCGCACGUAGGCGGCUUUGUAAGUUAGAGGUGAAAGCCCGGGGCUCAACUCCGGAAUUGCCUUUAAGACUGCAUCGCUAGAAUUGUGGAGAGGUAAGUGGAAUUCCGAGUGUAGAGGUGAAAUUCGUAGAUAUUCGGAAGAACACCAGUGGCGAAGGCGACUUACUGGACACAUAUUGACGCUGAGGUGCGAAAGCGUGGGGAGCAAACAGG